rnacentral:lncRNA from 1 species
UAUUAUAUCUUUUUAUCUUUUUUAUAAAAGAAAUAUAUAUUUAGCCCUCUUAGCCUCUUUAUUCUAAAUUCCAUGAUUAAAAAGAUAAAGUAAUCCUUUGAGUUAAGCUAGCUAUUUUGUAUUCUAAUUUAGGGAGUUUGUUUAAUUCUUUUUAAACAUGAUAAAAUCUUUUUUAUUAUAGUCCUAAGUCUUUCUUAGAAGGUCAAGAAAAAACUAAAAGAGAGUUAA